rnacentral:rRNA from 1 species
CCUACGGGGGGCAGCAGUGGGGAAUAUUGGGCAAUGGGCGCAAGCCUGACCCAGCAACGCCGCGUGAAGGAAGAAGGCUUUCGGGUUGUAAACUUCUUUUAAGAGGGAAGAGCAGAAGACGGUACCUCUUGAAUAAGCCACGGCUAACUACGUGCCAGCAGCCGCGGUCAUACGUAGGUGGCAAGCGUUGUCCGGAUUUACUGGGUGUAAAGGGGGUGCAGCCGGGAAGACAAGUCAGAUGUGAAAUCCCGCGGCUCAACCGCGGAACUGCAUUUGAAACUGUUUUUCGUGAGUACCGGAGAGGUCAUCGGAAUUCCUUGUGUAGCGGUGAAAUGCGUAGAUAUAAGGAAGAACACCAGUGGCGAAGGCGGAUGACUGGACGGCAACUGACGGUGAGGCGCGAAAGCGUGGGGAGCAAACAGGAUUAGAUACCCGAGUAGUC